UUUUCAGUUUUCCAGGUUGCUAUGGUGGCAUUAUUGCAUAGAUGAGGGACCAUCCACGAUUCAUACACAACAUCGACUGACGUGGUUUCAGAUUUGGAGCUGGAAGGGUGACCGUGUGUACAUACAGAUCAUGGACUAAGGUGUUGUCAGAUCUGCAGCAUAAAUGGGUUCCGUGGAAACGUACCUCUAGGUCUAGGCAAUGGUAUAAUGGAUGGCCGACGUUCAGAUGUACAAAGCUAUACAGCAGAUUUUGGAGCAUAAAGGGGUUAUUAUGGAAACGUACCUAGGCAAUAGUAUAAAUGGGUGGCUGGCGUUUGGAUGUACAAAAACACACAGCAGAUUUUGGAUCAUAUAGGGUGUGUAUGUUUACUUUUUCUUUUUUGUGGCAACAUUUGGAUAUAUUUGUUUUUUUUUUUAUUUUACACAUGCCUCUCUGUAUCUAUACAUUCAACAGGAUAACCAUGGAAACUAACAUCUACAUCUAGACAAAGGUUCAAGCAGCAGUGAGUGAAAUCCUGCAACCGAUCACUCGUCAAACGCUUAGCUUUAAGUAAUCUAAGCCUUGCUAGGAACUGUAAAUGACUUCAGGCAAAACUUGAAUAUAAACAAACAUCUGGAUAAUAGGUGUGCUCAUUGAAUCAUUGAAAAAUGGUGUUUGCUGUUUUGUCAGGCUUUUGUUUACAAUGGCUCCUUGGUGGUGAUUGUGGUGUUGUUUGUGUGUUUGUGGUGGUGUUUUGGUGUUUGUG
rnacentral:lncRNA from 1 species